AACGAACGCUGGCGGCGUGCUUAACACAUGCAAGUCGAACGGCAGCACCUCAUUCGCGGGCUCCUCCGGGUGCCAACUGGCGAAUAACACAGGAGUAACUUGCCCUCUACUUUGUCAUAACUUAUAACAACGGGAACCAUUACCUAAUAGCGCCUCCGCCCUACUGGUGAGGGUAGGAAAUUUUCGGAGGUUGGGCGUGGACUGGCGGCUUAUUCGCUUUUUGUGGGGGGCGUGGCUAACCGCGGCGUUGACGGGUAGCCGGCCUGAGAGGGUGACCGGCGACACUGGGACUGAGAGACGGCCCAGACUCCUACGGGAGGCAGCAGGGGGGAAUAUUGCACCAUGGGUGGAAGCCUGAUGCAGCAACGCUGUGGGCGGGAUGACGGCCUUCGGGUUGUAAACCGCUUGCGCUCAUGACGAAGCUUUGUGUGACGGUAGUGGGUAAAGAAGCACCGGCUAACUACGUG
rnacentral:rRNA from 1 species